rnacentral:rRNA from 1 species
UACGGGGGGGGGGCAAGCGUUUGUUCGGAAUUACUGGGCGUAAAGGGCGCGUAGGCGGUUCGAUAAGUCAGCUGUGAAAACCAUGGGCUUAACUCAUGGCCUGCAGUUGAGACUGUCGGGCUGGAGUGUGGGAGAGGAGAGUGGAAUUCCUGGUGUAGCGGUGAAAUGCGUAGAUAUCAGGAGGAACACCGGUGGCGAAGGCGGCUCUCUGGACCACAACUGACGCUGAGGCGCGAAAGCCUAGGGGG